GACAAUCUGGCCGAGUGGUCCAAGGCGCUAGCUUCAGGCGCUAGUCCUCCGGGGCGUGGGUUCGAAUCCCACGGUUGUCA